rnacentral:rRNA from 1 species
UACGUAGGGUGCGAGCGUUAAUCGGAAUUACUGGGCGUAAAGCGUGCGCAGGCGGUUUUGUAAGCCAGAUGUGAAAUCCCCGGGCUCAACCUGGGAAUGGCAUUUGGGACUGCAAGGCUGGAGUGUGGCAGAGGAGACUGGAAUUCCUGGUGUAGCAGUGAAAUGCGUAGAUAUCAGGAGGAAUACCGAUGGCGAAAGCGGCGCACUGGACCACAACUGACGCUGAGGCGCGAAAGCUAGGGGAGCAAACAGG